GGCCCGGUUAGCUCAGGUGGUUAGAGCGUGGUGCUAAUAACGCGCAAGGUCAUGGGUUCGGAAUCCCCAUACUGGCCA